GUAUCUUCGGAUAUGAGUAGAGCGGCGGACGGGUGAGUAACGCGUAGGAAUCUACCUAGUAGAAGGGGAUAGCCCGGGGAAACUCGGAUUAAUACCGUAUACCUCCUUCGGGAGAAAGAAGGCCUCUCAUUGAAGCUUUCGCUACUAGAUGAGCCUGCGUAAGAUUAGCUUGUUGGUGAGGUAAAGGCUCACCAAGGCGACGAUCUUUAGCGGGUCUGAGAGGACGAUCCGCCACAUUGGGACUGAGACACGGCCCAGACUCCUACGGGAGGCAGCAGUGGGGAAUAUUGGACAAUGGGCGCAAGCCUGAUCCAGCCAUACCGCGUGUGUGAAGAAGGCCCUAGGGUUGUAAAGCACUUUAAGUUGGGAAGAAAAGUUAUUGGUUAAUACCCAAUAGCCGUGACAUUACCAUCAGAAUAAGGACCGGCUAAUUCCGUGCCAGCAGCCGCGGUAAUACGGAAGGUCCAAGCGUUAAUCGGAAUUACUGGGCGUAAAGCGCGCGUAGGUGGUUUAUUAAGUUGGAUGUGAAAUCCCCGGGCUCAACCUGGGAACUGCAUCCAAAACUGAUUCACUAGAGUACGAUAGAGGGAGGUAGAAUUCACAGUGUAGCGGUGGAAUGCGUAGAUAUUGUGAAGAAUACCAAUGGCGAAGGCAGCCUCCUGGAUCUGUACUGACACUGAGGUGCGAAAGCGUGGGUAGCGAACAGGAUUAGAUACCCUGGUAGUCCACGCCGUAAACGAUGUCAACUAGCUGUUGGGGAACUAUGUUCUUCAGUGGCGCAGCUAACGUAGUAAGUUGACCGCCUGGGGAGUACGGCCGCAAGGCUAAAACUCAAAUGAAUUGACGGGGACCCGCACAAGCGGUGGAGCAUGUGGUUUAAUUCGAUGCAACGCGAAAAAACCUUACCUAUACUUGACAUACUUGGAAUGCUUUGUAAUGAAGCAGUGCCU
rnacentral:rRNA from 1 species